UACGAAGGGGGCUAGCGUUGCUCGGAAUUACUGGGCGUAAAGCGCACGUAGGCGGAUUGUUAAGUCGGGGGUGAAAUCCUGGAGCUCAACUCCAGAACUGCCUUCGAUACUGGCGAGCUCGAGUUCGGGAGAGGUGAGUGGAACUGCGAGUGUAGAGGUGAAAUUCGUAGAUAUUCGCAAGAACACCAGUGGCGAAGGCGGCUCGCUGGCCCGAUACUGACGCUGAGGUGCGAAAGCGUGGGGAGCAAACAGG
rnacentral:rRNA from 1 species